rnacentral:rRNA from 1 species
GAUGCAGCGAUGCCGCGUGAGUGAAUGAAGGCCUUAGGGUUGUAAAGCUCUUUCGUCGGGGAAUGAAUAUAUGACUGUACCCAGAGAUAAGAAGGUCCGGCUAACUUCGUGCCAGCAGCCGCGG